AUAGAAACUCUUCUUUGGUGUUAAGGUAAUAGCUAUGAAUAGUCAUUAGGCAAGAUUGGUUGGAUUAGCCCAUUUUUCUGUAGGUUAUAUAUUCACCUAUGCGGCUUGAAUUCUAACCUUGUGUCAAGACCUACGAGCCAAGGGACCGUCUCAGGUAGACAAUUUCUAUGGGGCGUAGGCCUCCCAAAAGGUAACGGAGGCUUGCAAAGGUUUUCUCGGGCCUGACGGAGAUUGGCCCUCGAGUGCAAAGGUAGAAGGGAGCUUGACUGCAAGACCCACCUGUCGAGCAGGGACAAAAGUUGGCCUUAGUGAUCCGACGGAAAUACUAGAUCCCCACUUACACAAGCAAAUUGUUGAUAAAA
rnacentral:ncRNA from 1 species